AUGCCAUAUCAUAUGCCAUGCCAUGCCAUAGAGUGGUGUGUCAUACCAUGCCAUGUGGUAGAUGCCAUGCCAUGCUAUACCACGCUGUGCCACAUCGUGUUGUGUCAUGCCGUGCUGUGCCAUGCCAUGCCACAUUGUGCUGUGCCUGGCAGGGUGGCUGCAGAGAACCAGACGACCCGCAGCCAGGCAGCACUCCGGCAGCAGUAUGAGGAGCGGCAGCGGGAGUCGGAGCACGUCUAUGAGCUCCUGGAGAACAAGAUCCAGCUCCUGCAGGAUGUGAGCCCAGGGAUGGUGGGGGCAUGGGAGCGGUGGAGCAAGGGCCAGGAUCUCUGGGCUUACUCCACUGCCAUGCAGGAGGCCAGGCUGGCACGGAAUGAGGCUGAGCAGGCCACAGCGCUGGCCAGAGCCGAGGCGGAGCGGUGCCGGGAGCUGGCAGGGAAGCUGAAGGAAGCUGCGAGGUCAAAGGAGGAGGACAGGAGCGAUGACGGCUGCAGUGCCGUGGCACAGAGGUGGGUGCCCAGGACCCGUCCCUGCUGUGCUGCCAUGUGCUGGUCCUUGGGGACUACCAAGGGGCCGGUGCUAUGCAGGGCCAGGGAGCUGCGGGCAUGUGGGGUGGUGGAGGGGUCACCCCAAGGGGAGAGAGCUGGGCUGUGGGGAAGGGGGAGCAGCCCUGAGGCUGCUCUGCUUUGGCCCAGAGACUGCCACCCUGAGGCUGUCCCCAGUGCCAUCCUGGGGCCAUCCCACUGCCUGAGUGUCCCCUGCCCUUCCCUUCCUUUCAGGAGGAUUGAAGAGCUGACCCAAGAGCUGGCGGCCAGCAAUCAGCUCGUGGAAACCCUGUCAGCUGAGAACUGUGACCUGCAGCAGCGCCUGGAGGAGCCCCCAGCUGUGGGUGAUCAGGUGGGUGGGCAAACGUGGGGGGUACACCAGCCCAGCACCUUGGGGGGGAGCACACCCGCCCAGGACUCCGGCUGGCAAUUGUCAUCCUUGUCCCCUUCUGGGGCUGUGUCCAGGCCUGUGUCACAUCCAGCCUGGCAGCGUCGGGCGGUUGCACAGCGGUGCCAUGGUGCUGGGGGGAGCAGGGGGCCGGGAGGACCUGGUGUGGGUGUUGGGGGAGAGGCUACCAGCCUGUGCAGUCCUUCUGUGGCUGCCGGUGCCACCUGA
rnacentral:lncRNA from 1 species